AGUGAACGCUGGCGGUAGGCCUAACACAUGCAAGUCGAACGGCAGCACAGUAGGAGCUUGCUCUUACGGGUGGCGAGUGGCGGACGGGUGAGGAAUACAUCGGAAUCUACUUUUUCGUGGGGGAUAACGUAGGGAAACUUACGCUAAUACCGCAUACGACCUACGGGUGAAAGCAGGGGAUCUUCGGACCUUGCGCGAUUGAAUGAGCCGAUGUCGGAUUAGCUAGUUGGCGGGGUAAAGGCCCACCAAGGCGACGAUCCGUAGCUGGUCUGAGAGGAUGAUCAGCCACACUGGAACUGAGACACGGUCCAGACUCCUACGGGAGGCAGCAGUGGGGAAUAUUGGACAAUGGGCGCAAGCCUGAUCCAGCCAUACCGCGUGGGUGAAGAAGGCCUUCGGGUUGUAAAGCCCUUUUGUUGGGAAAGAAAAGCAGCAGGUUAAUACCACGCUGUUCUGACGGUACCCAAAGAAUAAGCACCGGCUAACUUCGUG
rnacentral:rRNA from 1 species